AACGAACGCUGGCGGCAGGCCUAACACAUGCAAGUCGAACGCACCGCAAGGUGAGUGGCGCACGGGUGAGUAACACGUGGGAAUGUAUCCUUUGGUUCGGAAUAACGUCUGGAAACGGACGCUAAUACCGGAUGAGCCCUAUGGGGGAAAGAUUUAUCGCCGAAGGAGCAGCCCGCGUCUGAUUAGGUAGUUGGUGGGGUAAAGGCCUACCAAGCCGACGAUCAGUAGCUGGUCUGAGAGGAUGAUCAGCCACACUGGGACUGAGACACGGCCCAGACUCCUACGGGAGGCAGCAGUGGGGAAUUUUGGACAAUGGGCGCAAGCCUGAUCCAGCCAUGCCGCGUGAGUGAUGAAGGCCUUCGGGUUGUAAAGCUCUUUCGCACACGACGAUGAUGACGGUAGUGUGAGAAGAAGCCCCGGCUAACUUCGUGCCAGCCGCCGCCGUAACAC
rnacentral:rRNA from 1 species